rnacentral:lncRNA from 1 species
CAGGAAAGGUAGACCCACCCCACCCCCAACUUCAGCUCCUGUGUGAAAGGGUGAAGAACCUGGAGGGGAUGUUCUAUUUUACCAACACAAGCAUGUCCUUCCUAACAAGGAGGGCUGCUUAGAGGAUUGAGAAAGGGAGAAUAUCAUGAGGGACAUAAGGAAGAAGGGACCAAAACUUAAAAUUCUAACUGACAAUCCAGUUUCCAACAUAAGUGCAAUUUUAGGUUAUGCAAAAUUUUUUCUUUGCAGUGAAAUCAAGAGCUGGCUGUAAUUUCUGUCACCAUAUUGCAAUGCUGCUGCUUAGAAAGCUAAGCAUAUGUAUGUGUGGUUUAUCAAACAAAGAUGUUGUUGUUUAACAUGCAAAGCCACAGCAGUUACAUUUGUUACAAAUGCUGGGUUUCAUCCAGCAGGAUUGGAACUGCUUCUCCUGCUUUAGGAAGUCUUACUCGCGUUAGCUCUGGAUAUGGCUUUUCCAGAUUACAGUUUGCUUCCCUUCGGACCUCAAGAAAAUAUAAGGAUAAAGAAUUGGCUUUGGGUCUUUGCUCAUAUGCAGAGGGGAGACCUGCUGCCUGUGUGGAUAGGGAACAUCUCUCCUGCUGCCUUCCAGAAGCUAAAGCUACACUCAAGGAGGUUGUAUGCAGUAUCUUGGGAAUCCAAGAGCUCUCAGAUGUGGCGAAGGCUGUAAUAAUAUGAAGAAAGAGUGCUCAAGCAAAACAUACACAGAUACUCCCUCAAGCAGCUGAAGCUAUACCAAGAAGGUGAGAGACAAAAAGUCAAAGGCAGAGAGAAGGCCUAAUAGUGACCCAUGCAUGCAUUGGGGAACAAGCACCUGUCUUCCUUGUGCAUGAACCAUGCAGCAGACAGAAAACACUAGACUGUCAAAGUGGCGUAGCUCUAUGAAAUCACUGAGAUAACAUCCUCUCUGUCUCUCUCUGUCUCUGUUUCUCUCUCUCUCUCUCUCUCUCUCUCUCUCUCUCUCUCUCUCACACACACACACACACACACACACACACACACACACAUACUUACUCACUCACAGAGACAGAAUCCCAUUAAACACAACUUAAUGUUUCCUUAUGAAUUUUCGCACUCCUCUGUGAACCAUCACAGCAGAUAUGACACCCCAAACUAUCAUCCAUCACAAAGAGAACUGCAGGCAGGCCGAGGAUGGGAAGGCCCUUCUCCCAGGGCUCCCCCACCCCUCACAAGCUAUAAACUGAAAGCUUACUGAAGAACUAAGUACUGAGGUUGCAGUCAUUUAGCAGCCCAUUCCUGUAGGGAUGGACCUGUCAG